rnacentral:rRNA from 1 species
GGUAAGUUGAGUAGCAAUACUUGACCAAGAGUGACGUAAGGGUGCGUAACACGUAUGCAAUCUGCCCUCAACAGGAGUAUAGCUCGGGGAAACCCGGGUUAACGCUCCAUAAGAUCACGGUGUGGCAUCACAGAGUGAUUAAAUCUACGGAGGUUGAGGAUGAGCAUGCGGAUGAUUAGCUAGUUGGUAGUGUAAUGGACUACCAAGGCGAUGAUCAAUAGGGGAACUGAGAGGUUGAUCCCCCACACUGGCACUGAGAUACGGGCCAGACUCCUACGGGAGGCAGCAGUAGGGAAUAUUGGACAAUGGGUGCAAGCCUGAUCCAGCCAUGCCGCGUGCAGGAAGAAGGCCUUCUGGGUUGUAAACUGCUUUUGCCAGGGGAUAAAAAGCUCGUGCGCGAGAAAUUGAAGGUACCUGGUGAAUAAGCCACGGCUAACUACGUGCCAGCAGCCGCGGUAAUACGUAGGUGGCAAGCGCUGUCCGGAUUUAUUGGGUUUAAAGGGUGCGUAGGCGGUUUUUUAAGUCAGUGGUGAAAUACGUCAGCUUAACUGGCGAGGUGCCAUUGAUACUGGGGAACUUGAGUACUGAUGAGGUAGGCGGAAUGGACGGUGUAGCGGUGAAAUGCUUAGAUAUCGUCCAGAACACCGAUAGCGAAGGCAGCUUACUAAGGAGUAACUGACGCUGAGGCACGAAAGUGUGGGG